ACUGCUAAUACCGCAUACGAUCUAAUCUCGGCAUCGAGGAUAGAUGAAAGGUGGCCUCUACAUGUAAGCUAUCACUGAAGGAGGGGAUUGCGUCUGAUUAGCUAGUAGGUGGGGUAACGGCUCACCUAGGCGACGAUCCCUAGCUGGUCUGAGAGGAUGACCAGCCACACUGGAACUGAGACACGGUCCAGACUCCUACGGGAGGCAGCAUG
rnacentral:rRNA from 1 species